rnacentral:rRNA from 1 species
GAAUGCAUUAAUUUUGCCUUUCAUGAAGACUUACCAGCCUACAUUUAGAAAGCAAAAGCAAGGUCAGGCCUGGUUAAUACUUGGAUGGGAGACCACCUAGGAAGACCAGGUGCUGUAGGCG